CACAGCUGAUUCUUGUUCAGUGACUUUUCUUAAUGCUCAAGUCGGGCUGAUAUCAGUGAAGAGUAAGAGGACGUGAGAUUAGGGUUUCAGGUGCACUAAAUUUAGUCCAGGAUAGCCAAUUUCCUGCAGGUUCCUUAGACCCCCCAUUCCCCUGCUAAGUAGCCAGGGUGAAGGGACAGGCAGCUGUUUGUACCUGCAGUGCUGUGGGAGUGGUGGCUUGCCAGGCUGCUAGCUACUGGUGGAAGGAAGAAAUGGGUUCUGGAUGCUCGAGACUGAUGCUGAAAGAUCAAGACAGAAGCCAGGCUGCAUCCCCACUGCCCUUUGUUGGUUGCCCUUGGGCAGCGCGUGUGCAGCGAGCUGCUGGAGCUUCUCAAAGGGGCUUCUCAAACCACCCUUGUGAAGGUAUAAGCAAUAACUCAGAGUAUAACAGGGGAGAUUCAAGACCAGAAAAUGCAAGUUAUCCAACUCUAUUUUCUGUGAGUGGAUUUGUUAACACCAGACCUUCAGGUAUUGUUUGGUGCUGCUUGACCUCUAUGGCUGUGACUCUGCUGAUCUGCCCCUCUGAGGAUCCCGGCUGAAAGAAGGUGUAAUGCUGGAGAGAGGGAAGGAGGGAUCACAUGGAGUGUGUGUCAGGAGAGUGGAAAAAAAGGAGUCUCUUUUCCAAACCAACAUCAUUAAAGAAAAAAAGCAAAACACAGAGUCUGCAAGGAAGCCCUUGAGGACAAAGAUGGGAACAGAGUUGGGCAAUGCAACAAAUAGACCAUUUUUCAUCACAAUCUCAUAACUGCUGUCUUGUUCCCAGUCUGCUCUUGUGACAGAGUUUGCAAUACCCACUGGGGACUCUUCUAGGACACAGUGCUGUGAGCCAGAACCUCAUUUUAGCAUUAUACCAGGGAAACUAUGCUAGGCAAACUGGAGCCACGGAGUCAGGUUUGGAUCCAAAGUACAUUUUUUUUUUUUUUUUUUUUCCUUUUGGCUCCAGAAGCCCAGAGCAAAGAAUGUAAAUUGGCUUUGCAGAAGUACGUCAAUUUUGGUGCCAAAGUUUCAUUUGAUAUCAUCUCUGUCUGGCACCUACACAGCAGGUGCUUCCCGAGAUGACCUGAGGCACGCAGGCACAACGCGAGCACCGGGUCGUGCGUCUUGCACGAGGCUACGUGCCACUGCCUCCUUGCAGCCAUAGAGGCUGUCUCCUGACACUGUGCCCCCAGCCACAGCUACAAAUGGAUUUUGCAGGAAGGCUGGCUGCUCCAGCCUCCUCCACCGCUACCCAAACCAAUGCGCUGCCUCACAAUCCAUCACGCGAGUGAUAAGCCUCCAGUGCUCGCUGUGAGUCAUCUCUACAAACUCUGUGCUGAGUCCUGCGGAGGCUGAGCAAGCUAUUUGCUUGAGUAAAAAGUGCUCAGAGGAGUUUAGGAUGCAGACCUGGCCCCUUGAGAGAAGCAGUCCCCUUUUCCUUUGGCUACCAGGUUUGUACCUCGGUCUCUGCUAGCUCUCGGCCACUGGAGGUGUUCAGAUGCCCAUCUGAAUAGCGAGCAGGAGUCAGGUGAAACAGGCAAACCUUCUUCAGUACUUGGGUUUGUGGCCAAGAAAAAGGACAGAUCUUGGAAUAAGAGCAGUUUGGAGUGUCAUCCAUGGCCCAGGGA